rnacentral:lncRNA from 1 species
GCGAGAGUUUACGUGAUUUUGUGUGUUGUUUUUUCACCUCAACUGCCGAGUACUGAGGGAAGCUCAGGAAGCUCUGAAGAUACAGCAUGGCCAGCACAUCCUCACUCUCCACAAAGUGAAAGGAAAAGUGCAUUCCUGUGGAACAUGUAUUCUGCCUUCAGACUAGAACAGGAGGAAUGGUUUACUGUGUACACAGUAGGGUGAAACAGUGUAGACCAGAGCUAGCUCACAGACUAAAGUUUAAGGAGUCAUCUGCAGGAGUCACCAUUGGGAAGGAGGACCUGAUGGGGCAAAAGGUCAUGGAUUUCCCAAAGAGGCAUGAGAGACUGCAGAGCCAUAGCCACCAUUCUGAUCUUCUCCACCCAGAGA